AGAGUUUGAUCCUGGCUCAGGAUGAACGCUAGCGGGAGGCUUAACACAUGCAAGUCGUGGGGCAGCAYKRKGUAGCAAUACWYWGRUGGCGACCGGCGCACGGGUGAGUAACGCGUAUGCAACCUACCCAGUACAGGGGGAUAGCCCGGAGAAAUUCGGAUUAAUACCCCAUAAUGAUAUWRAGAGGCAUCUUUUUAUAUUUAAAGCUUCGGCGGUACUGGAUGGGCAUGCGUAAGAUUAGCUAGUUGGUAGGGUAACGGCCUACCAAGGCUCCGAUCUUUAGGGGUCCUGAGAGGGUGAUCCCCCACACUGGUACUGAGACACGGACCAGACUCCUACGGGAGGCAGCAGUGAGGAAUAUUGGUCAAUGGGCGCAAGCCUGAACCAGCCAUCCCGCGUGAAGGAAGAAGGCGCUAUGCGUUGUAAACUUCUUUUCCGGAGGAAUAAAAUCUUGUACGYGUACARGACUGAAGGUACUCCGGGAAUAAGCAUCGGCUAACUCCGUGCCAGCAGCCGCGGUAAUACGGAGGAUGCAAGCGUUAUCCGGAUUUAUUGGGUUUAAAGGGUGCGUAGGCGGAUUAAUAAGUCAGCGGUGAAAACCUUCAGCUUAACUGGAGACUUGCCAUUGAUACUGUUAGUCUUGAGUAUGGUUAAGGUAGGCGGAAUGUGUAAUGUAGCGGUGAAAUGCUUAGAUAUUACACAGAACACCAAUUGCGAAGGCAGCUUACUGAGCCAUAACUGACGCUGAUGCACGAAAGCGUGGGGAGCGAACAGGAUUAGAUACCCUGGUAGUCC
rnacentral:rRNA from 1 species